rnacentral:rRNA from 1 species
GGGUAACCUGCCCUAUGCUGGAUAAUAACCUCGGGAAACUGAGAAUAAUGAUCCAUAGUUCACUACGCCUGGAACGGUGAGUGGAUGAAAGCUCCGGCGGCAUAGGAUGGGCCUGCGGCGUAUCAGGUUGUAGGGGGUGUAACGUACCCUCUAGCCCUCUACGCGUACGGGUGUUGGGAGACAUAGCCCGGAGAUGGAUUCUGAGACACGAAUCCAGACCCUACGGGGUGCAGCAGGCGCGAAAACUUGGCAAUGCGAGAAAUCGUGACCAGGGAACUCCAAGUGCAUCGGGUAAGACCGGUGCUUUUCUUGACUCUAAAUAGGUCUUGGAAUAAGGGGUGGGUAAGGACGGUGCCAGCCGCCGCGGUAAUACCGGCGCCUCAAGUGGUAGUCGCUUUUAUUGGGCCUAAAACGUCCGUAGCCGGUCUGAUACAUUCGUGGGUAAAUCAACCAGCUCAACUGGUUGAAUUCUGCGAGGACGGUCAGACUUGGGACCGGGAGAGGUGCGGGGUACGCUCAGGGUAGGGGUAAAAUCCUGUCAUCCUGAGCGGACCACCUGUUGCGAAGGCGCCACACUAGAACGGAUCCGACGGUCAGGGACGAAGCCUAGGGGCACGAACCGGAUUAGAUACCCGGGUAGUCCUAGGUGUAAACGCUGUGGACUUGAUGUUGGGGGUGCUCCGAGCACUCUCAGUGUCGAAGCGAAGGUGAUAAGUCCACUGCCUGGGAAGUACGGUCGCAAGGCUGAAACUU